UCCCAAUUUGGGCAGGAGUACCUGGCACCU
rnacentral:piRNA from 1 species